GACAAGGUGACGGCGAUAAGACGUGAGCUUUAGUAAUUAGUUUAUUGUUGUUGACAGACAUAUGUACAGUGAGACAAAACGAUGACCGCACUGAUGGCAAAUCCUUCAGAGAUGAUUGUUUAUAUCUGCGUCCUUUUUGUACAACAGAGUACAGAAUACAUCCUGUCUCCAACUAAUGCAGAGUAUAUUCAAACUGCCAACACACUGGUUGUGAAGAACCCUUUCCAGAGAAAUAUAGAAAGAAAUGACUGUGUAAGUUAAAUUGUUUUUAAACCAUUGAUUUAUCUCUAUCAGCAUAAUCACACACAAUAUUGUAGUAACAAGAUGUUGUAAUCUUUAUUUGCUGGAAAAUGACAAUCAGUCAAGUUUGUGUUUUAAGCACAUCUGACACAUCUCUAAACCUGAAAUGUAAAGCAGAACGUGCU